AACGAACGCUGGCAGCAGGCUUAACACAUGCAAGUCGAGCGCCCCGCAAGGGGAGCGGCAGACGGGUGAGUAACGCGUGGGAAUCUACCCAUCUCUACGGAAUAACGCAUGGAAACGUGUGCUAAUACCGUAUACGUCCUUCGGGAGAAAGAUUUAUCGGAGAUGGAUGAGCCCGCGUUGGAUUAGCUAGUUGGUGGGGUAAAGGCCUACCAAGGCGACGAUCCAUAGCUGGUCUGAGAGGAUGAUCAGCCACACUGGGACUGAGACACGGCCCAGACUCCUACGGGAGGCAGCAGUGGGGAAUAUUGGACAAUGGGCGCAAGCUUGAUCCAGCCAUGCCGCGUGAGUGAUGAAGGCCCUAGGGUUGUAAAGCUCCUUCACCGGUGAAGAUAAUGACGGUAACCGGAGAAGAAGCCCCGGCUAACUUCGUGCCAGCAGCCGCGGUAAGAC
rnacentral:rRNA from 1 species